GGCAUACUUUCAAAUGCUUUUUGUGUUUACAGACACUAUAGGCCUUAACUUGAACCAGUCUGCUCUGCAGUGAUGUUUGAGUGAACACUUGGAACCCAUGGGUCCUCUGAACAGUGUUUCCCAACUCUGUCAAUUAGGGAAAAGGUAAAAACUGUUUCACCAUCUUUUCAACGAUGUAGCAAUGAGCUCUUCCUUCAAGUACUAAAAGCCUGGCCUUCGCCGAAGUAAAAUCAUUACCGGUCUCAAGGUGAGUAGUUCAUUUGCCUUUUCUAAGGUUGGUACCUUUGAAUAAAUGAAUGGCAUCAUCCCUUACCCCCCAGAGGAUUGCUUUCUGAAAAGAAGAAUAUGCGAGACUUGAAAAGUUAAAACUUGUAGUUUUUCCAGAGAAAUACAAACAUCUUCCUCUGCUGACUGACCCUGUGUGUAUUCAACUUCCUCUGCGUUACAUCCUGGGCAAUGAUGCAGGUCCUUAGUUCAGUGCCUGGAUAUGAUCACUCAUAAGAUGAACUUCCACAUCAGGGUUUGAACCGCAGCAAUCACUCAGGACUUUCUCUCUUCCCUUGACUUAUGCGUUCUAGAGUGUUAAUUUUAAUAUAUAUAUACAUAUAUAUACAUAUAUUGAUAUAAAAGUUGAUUUAUAUAUCAAAGUGUAUAUAUGUGAAACAAUUAAAUAAAUGUUGCCUCCCUGUUGACUGUUAACAAUACUAUGUCAUACUGUACUUGAAUAUCAAAAAUCUAAGUGUUUAUAUAAGUCAUUCUCUUUAUUCGUCAAGUAAUAAAGUAUGUAAAUUACUGGCUUACUGGUAAGUUCUAUUUUACUGGUAAAUUACUUGUAGAAAUAUCAAAAUUACUACACUUAAAUAUCAAAAAUCCAAAUGUAUUACAGAAAUUAUUUUUACCCUAUCAGAUAAAGUUAUUUUAAAAUUUAAAAUUAACAUUUAGUUUUUAAGCUCUUUCCCCCUCCAAACUAUUCUUUGGCAGAAUGUGCAACUAGGUUUUAGCCAAACUAAGCUUGUUCUUCUAACAAAGUAAAGAGUCUGCCUCUAAAGGGUGAAAUUGUACUUUGAUGUUUUCCUGGAAAGGAUCUGGAGGUACUUUGAGAAAUAGCAGCCUAGAUUUGCCUCAGAUUAGAAUCCGAGAGCUAUUUGUUUAACCCAUCUGGGACAAAGCAGUUAGUGACCACAAGCAAAUCAUGUUAUGGGACUAUUUCUUUUUUUUUCCAUGACAUUAUUUUCAUGUGGUCUCCAGAAACAUUGCAACUUGUCAGCUUUAUCUUUACAGAAUGUUUCUGGCUCUGACAGUGUAAAAGUUUAUGGCUCACUGUUCCGGCCAUUAGAGCUCUACAAAGGUUGAAUUAGGAGACACUGGAGUAGAAGGUGGCAUCCACACAGAGAAGCCCUCAUGUUUCCACAGAGGUGAGAGACUAACACAAUCCUUUUCAAAUCUUAUAUUGAAUAGAAGUGCAUUUUACAUUACAAACCAACCCACACACACACAAACACAUACACACACAAAGACCACAGAGUCAAUCAACUUUAUAUAGAGCUAUAACUAAGAUUUCAUAAAACAGUGCUACUGGAAUUAUAACAAAAACACUAGUAUGUUCUAUUUCAUGUCCCCUGUUUCUUUAUAAGCAGACCAUGAACUAGUAAGAUAUUUCAUAUCCCACUUAUAGUUUUCAGUUUUCCCAGAGCAUCAUGAAGUAUGUUUCAGAGAAUGAGGAUGCUGGGCAAACAUAUGCCUUGAGUCUUUGAACAGUGCCACAGCUGUGUUCUUGUAAGGACCAGUUAAACAGGACAGCCUAAGGUUGUAAUCAAAUGCAUGAGACCUUCGUUAAGUCACAAAGUCUCCUUGGUUAACAUAAAUUCAAUUAUGAAGAGCAGGUAACAAUUGCUAAUUAUUUAUUUAGUCCAGGGCUGUUUGGAAUAACAAAUUAAGUGUGUUUUUCAGUUUAAAUUGGAAAUAAGUUCAUACUUUUAGUAACCAGGUUUGCAAAGGGACUUUUGAAGAGCCCAGAGUCCAUUCUUUUCCUUUUUGUGUUUUGAAAAGGAGUCUCAGAUUCAGCCUGAGAAUCUGCAGGGAAGAAGAUUGCAUGCAAAAAUGAAAAACAAGCACUGUAUAAUAUUGCAGACAGGCCCUGGGGAACCUUUGAACACCUCCCAGACCAUGUGUUUGGGUGAAGACCCAAUCCUUGGGGGGAAAGAACAGUUCUUAAGAGAAGGAAAGUUGGGAGCAUUAGAAAACCUGAGUUAAUGGAGCCCUUUUAAAGAAUCAGAUGCAGAUGUGAAAGGUAAAUGAAGCAACACUCCAGAGGGGGAGGCCAAGAAAGCCAGGAGCAUGAGAAGAAAUGCCCAUGUGACUUCCCAAGGAGGAAGUAAAGAAGGGGCCCACCCACUUAUACCCUCCACCCUGGCCUGGGAAGCCAGAGAAUAUUCUCAGUAUUCCCCUCUCCCUGUCCCUCUCCCUCCCUCUUCUUCUCCCUCUCCUUGUCCCCUUCCCCUUCCCUCUCCCUCUCUCACUUUCUCUCAGCAUAGAGGGUCUAUCACUGGAAAUUCAGCAAUUGAGGUGGUUGGCCCAUGAGCCCAGGGAACUCUUGACUAUGCUUCUCCAAUACUCCUGGCUUUUUACUUUGGCUCUAGGGAUUGAACUUGGGCUCUUGUGCUGGCAAAGCAAGUGCUUUACCAGUUGAGCUAUAAAAGCAUUCUUUAUGGUACAGAUCUUGCUUGAACAUCUAUCAACAGGUUCUUGACACAACCACAAAAUUUUUGAAAAACAAGCUCAUGUAUUAAUUUGAAUUCAAUUUUAGCAGCUUGAAAGUGAGGCUUUAAGUUAAAAGUAGGUGUCUUUAAUUAGUUCCAAGUUUUUAAUCUAACUUCUACUGGAAAUCACACCCCCUUCACUUGAUAUCUAGAACAAAGGACAAAGUAUGAUAGAUAAGUAAGCUUUAAAAAAAACAGAAAAGAAAUCAAAGUAUGUGUUAAGAUCUGGCAAUAUCAUCUGUACUUGUCAAAUGCACAUAAGGAAAAUUAGUUUGGGUUUAAUAUGUAUAAAACAAUGCACAACCCAGACAAAUUGUCUGGCAAAUUAAUGAAUAAUCUAGACUUGAAUUUUAAUGUCUUAGAAGAUGUUUUCUAAGGAAUAAUUUUGGAGGAAUGUAGUACUAGAAUUCAAAAUCUGCCCUUCUCUGUGUGUGAUAUGAUUUUAUAUUCAGUCUUCCAUUCCUGAGGCUUUGUAGGAGACGCCUUAUUGGUACCAAUGUAGAAAACAUCUCUUAAUCUAACGUACAUAUGCCAGGAUUGUAAUAAAUGUUACAGAUAUGGGCAAAGGCUUUAUUUCAGCAAGACCCCUUGGAUAUCUGAAUAAGAUUCAAGGCACAGAACUUUGAAAAGAAGCUUUGCAGCUUCUCUUUGGUUUGCUUUGUUAACAGUGGGCUCAGGGUCAUUCUCAGGUUUAGAAGAGAAAAGGAAACCCCAAUGAGGUCUUUGCUACUCACAGUUCUCUGGUAGACAUCUUUAUAUAUGUUCUACUACUCAAAUGUUUGUUACAAACAACGCCUUGACUUCUCUUUUAAUCAAUGACUUUAUAGCUCCAAUUAAUUUGUUCCAUACAUGUUGUCAAGUCCACAGGUAAGAAUCUACUUCAGUGCUGAGCUCUCAAAGACAAGGGCAGUUCACACUUUGCCCCUUAAGUAGAAGUAGCAGGAAAUAAAGGCAAAAGUAUGACAGGAAGUUCUAUUUGAACACUAGAGAAGGAGUCCUUGCUUGUUCAGGGAGGCUGACACUGAGGUCUCACAUAGCACUGGGCGUGGUGGAGCAUGAAAGGAAGGAAGAAGGUCCCUGGGCAGAAAACAGAGUUCCAAGAAACAGAUUUUGCUAGAUGUGUGUGUGUGUGUGUGUGUGUGUGUGUGUGUGUGUGUGUGUGUAACAGAGAAAAGCCAGAACUAGAAUGAAACAAAGCAUGAGACAAAGGUAUGCAAAUUCAUAGAACCUUUUACCUGUGGCCAAAGAGGCAGGAUGCAGUUAAAUGAAAGGGAAAGGCAUUGAACGGGUCUGAGUGGGAAAGUAAUAUGACUUGAUUUACACCUAUAAAUGCACACCCCAGCAGCUGUAUGGAGGACUGACAAAGGAAACAAGAAUAGAGGCAUCAAUCAAAAAGCUUUGGCUGAAAUGAGAAAGGUGGUAUCAUGGACCAGUCCAAGGGCAAUGAAAGUGAUUCCUUUUGAAAGCCUCCUGCCGGCAUUGUUAGCUGCCUCCCUGGAAGCUACCCUCCCCCAUUUCAGUCCUCACACGUGAUGCUCUGACAUUCAAGGUUGGCCCAACUGUACUACGAUAUCCCACUCCCAUUAGUAUCCCUGCCCCCACUUGCUACCUAACACUGCUCAGCAUGUCCUUCCUGGUUGUCCAAAAGGACCUCUCAGAAAGGCAGCUGGGCUAAAUCUGCAAAGCCUCUCUCUUGCUUUGUAGCUGCUAAAAGGAAACGGAUUUUAUCCAGCUCUGCCCUUGACCCAAACUAGACAGAAAUGUGAAAACAGAACAAGAUAUCUCCCAGGCCUGUUCUGGUGGAAGAGCAUUUCUGAGCAUCUCUGUGGUAAUUUAAUUUUCAAAUGUUUAUUGCCUUUGUUUACAUAGAUAAGGAAGUAAAGCACCUUCAUUUCCCUGACUUAUGUGGCAACAGAACUCCCACUUGGGAAGUGAUAAUCUGCUUCACAGAACUAGUUUCAAGAGUAUCAUCAUGAGUACAGUAAACAAAAGAUGGCUGAAGGGAACAGGAAGAUACCAGGGAGAUCAAAACCUCUACAGUGUUCUCAGGUUUUUAUCAUUGUUAGAGAAAGAACUCAAAGGUGUGGCAAAGGAUGGGGAGAGAGCCUUGAAUACAAAACAGAAGUACCCAAGAGACAUGUGAGCCACUUGGAGUCAGUCAUGCCUCUAGGAAUGACCGGAACAGCACUUUUCCAGAGAAAGUCUCAGGGUAGGAGGCUUAUUCAAGACCCAAGAAAUAGAGUCUAUUCCUCAGUUUUGUCAUUAUGUCUUUGACAUGUGUCUUCUGGGAGCAACAACUGUAGAAGGCCGAUGAAGGGAGAUGCCACUUUAAUGACGCAGAGUACUGUCAGUGUAUCCUCUAAGUCUGGAGGUUGUCCAAGGUGGUUUGAGCAAGCUCUGAGUGUCACUGUAGUGACAUGAAGUCCUAUGGUAAACGUGUUCUGUUUAGGAAUCAGCCUCCAGACACCAUGCAAUCACCUUUUCCCCGAUGGGGUCUAGCCUGCAUCCAAAGCAAUGAACUUCAUGGCAUCAAAUAACAUUCUUCAAAAUCCUGCCACAUCCGAGAUAUGCUUAGAAAGCCCACAGCAGGCUGCAAACAUCUAAAGACAUAUGUGGCGAAGCCUGCGAUGAAAAAAAAAAGAUCAACUACUUGGGAAAAUCUAAUAAAGUAAAUGUUUGAUGUUAAGAUCUGAAUACUCAGGAAUCCUAUUUAUCAUCAAGGAUUAGCAGAGUUUUUAAAAUUCAAGAGCCAGUAAAGAUACAGCUAGAAAAUUUCUUCCUAGAGUCCCCCUUUUAUUAUUAAUUAAACUCAUUAUAGGGGCUGGGGAUUUAGCUCAGUGGUAGAGCACUUACCUAGGAAGCGCAAGGCCCUGGGUUCGGUCCGCAGCUCCAAAAAAAAGAACCAAAAAAAAAAAAAAAUUAAACUCAUUAUAAACGCGAGUUUCUAUGGGAACUCUCACACACUUUCUCCACCAUGAAAGGGGGGGAAUGGAGGGAAGAAGGAAGAAACAGAGGUAAGGAGGAAAGGAAAUGAUAAAAAAUCAUUUGACUUUAAAAAUGGGAAACUACACUAGACAUUGUAUUGUGACAAUGUCCAGAACCAGGAUUUUAACACAAUUCAUUGUCUCUGGUUUUAAAAGGUACAGAGCUGUGAAAUUUUAUUUCAUCAUAAAAAUGAUUAAUAUGGCUUAUAACUGAAUGUCAAAAUAGAUUUUGUUACACAAUCUAAUUCAAUUUCUCAGCUACGAAGAUGUUGGCAGAAAGGAACAAUUUAUGCUAAGCUUCUCAGUUCAUGUUCUUUUUUCCUUUCCUCCCCUCCCCAAGCAUUUCUGACAACAGGCUUUAUGCUCCACUGGAGGAGUCUACAAUGAGACUCAAGUAGGAGUAUUAUGUUGAAAAUGUUCUUCUCAGAGUAUUAACUGAAGUUGGCACCUAUGACAUCACAACAGAACCAGAAAGAGUCUCAGGACCCACCCCUGACUUCCCAAGUGAGGAUUUGCAUUUUAUCCUCUGGUUAAUGCAUGCCUUGCAUUUUGAGAAACGCUAUAUCAGGAGACAGUCUCCAGUGUUUCCUUAUCAUUCCUUCUGCUACCAGUUUUCAGCCACUAAGUUCUCAAGAACAAGAUACCCUCUCUGUUAGACAUUUGAUCCCUAGAGUCUCAACUGAGUUUUUAUGAACUCCUCAAAUAUAUAUAAAACUCAAUUUGCCCCGAAAUAUCUCACCACAUUGCUUCUGCGACAAUCCAAGAUCUCCCAAUUGUCUUGGAGUCUGGCCUCUACCCCAUCGUCUAGAAGACAACAGAAUAAUUCCAUGCUGAUGGCUCAGAGCAUCCAUUGCUCAGAGGAUGGCACCAGGAUGACUGACAUUAGAAACAAGGAUCAGUUUUACAAGUCAUGUGCUGUCCAAGAACUCACGAGACUAACCUCCAGGCACCUUGCCUACCAGUCACGAUCCACAGGUAAACCACUUCUUACUACUCUCUGCUCUUAAUUUGCAGACAUUUCCCUGGUUGAAUCUGAUGAUCCUUUUUAUACCUAAUUACCAGUUGUUUUCCCUUUGUCUGAUCAACUUUGCUACUUUUUAAUAGUUCUCAUUUCCUGAAAGAUGAUCUUCACCAUCCCCCACAGGUUAAUCAUGCUACCAAGACAAUGUCAUUAGCAGAGGUGUCUCUCCUGAA
ensembl:lncRNA